rnacentral:rRNA from 1 species
AUUGAACGCUGGCGGCAUGCCUUACACAUGCAAGUCGAACGGUAACGGGCCUUCGGGCGCCGACGAGUGGCGAACGGGUGAGUAAUGCAUCGGAACGUACCUUUCAGUGGGGGAUAACGUAGCGAAAGUUACGCUAAUACCGCAUAUUCUGUGAGCAGGAAAGCAGGGGAUCGCAAGACCUUGCGCUGAUUGAGCGGCCGAUGUCAGAUUAGCUAGUUGGUGAGGUAAAGGCUCACCAAGGCGACGAUCUGUAGCGGGUCUGAGAGGAUGAUCCGCCACACUGGAACUGAGACACGGUCCAGACUCCUACGGGAGACAGCAGUGGGGAACUUUGGACAAUGGGGGCAACCCUGAUCCAGCCAUGCCGCGUGAGUGAAGAAGGCCUCGGUUGUAA